UAUUUUGAAUGGUCUAAUUUAAAUUAGAUCCCAUAUUUUAUUUUGGCUAAAUUCCACCGUGCAUCUCAGCCUAGUGAUUGUUGGAUCUGCCACGUCAAUUAAUGAAGUCAGAUCAAACGUCCUGUGUUUUUUCUGAUUUUGUUUUUUUUCUAUUUUCAUUUUUAAUUGCAUUUUAUUUUAAAUUCAUAGAAAAUUGAUUUUACAUCCAAAAUAUCCCAAAAUAAUUUCUAAAAAUCACUUUUAUUUUUCUUUAUUUGAUUUUU
rnacentral:lncRNA from 1 species